CCAUCCUCAAACGUUAUUUUUUACUUUAUAGCAACGUAGUUACCAAACAUAUUUUUUACUUUUUUUAUUUUUACUCAGCAAUAAAAAUCUAAAAAAAAUAUAUUUUUAAAAAUUAAAAUUAAAAAUUAAAAAGUAUAAUCAAACGCAUUCUAAUCUGCUGCCGUAUUCACCUCUCUAUAAACAUAUCGGAUUUUUAUGGC
rnacentral:lncRNA from 1 species